GAUAAACGCUGGCGGCGUGCAUGAGACAUGCAAGUCGAACGGGCGACUCAGGCUUGCUUGAGUCGCUAGUGGCGGACGGCUGAGUAACGCGUGGGUGACCUGCCCCGAAGUGGGGAAUAACUGCCCGAAAGGGUGGCUAAUACCGCAUGUGGUGAUGCGUUCGUUCGCAUCAGUAAAGCCGCAAGGCGCUUCGGGAGGGGCCUGCGUCCGAUUAGCUCGUUGGUGGGGUAACGGCUCACCAAGGCGACGAUCGGUAGGUGGUCUGAGAGGACGAUCACCCAGGCUGGGACUGAGACACGGCCCAGACUCCUACGGGAGGCAGCAGUGGGGAAUCUUGCGCAAUGGGCGAAAGCCUGACGCAGCGACGCCGCGUGGGGGAAGAAGGCCUUAGGGUUGUAAACCUCUUUCAGGCGGGACGAAGCCACUCGGGUGAAUAGCCCAGAGGGUGACGGUACCGCCAGAAGAAGCCCCGGCUAAC
rnacentral:rRNA from 1 species